AGUGAACGCUGGCGGUAGGCCUAACACAUGCAAGUCGAACGGCAGCACAGUAAGAGCUUGCUCUUACGGGUGGCGAGUGGCGGACGGGUGAGGAAUACAUCGGAAUCUACUUUUUCGUGGGGGAUAACGUAGGGAAACUUACGCUAAUACCGCAUACGACCUACGGGUGAAAGCAGGGGAUCUUCGGACCUUGCGCGAUUGAAUGAGCCGAUGUCGGAUUAGCUAGUUGGCGGGGUAAAGGCCCACCAAGGCGACGAUCCGUAGCUGGUCUGAGAGGAUGAUCGGCCACACUGGAACUGGGACACGGUCCAGACUCCUGCGGGAGGGAGCAGUGGGGAAUAUUGGACAAUGGGCGCAAGCCUGAUCCAGCCAUACCGCGUGGGUGAAGAAGGCCUUCGGGUUGUAAAGCCCUUUUGUUGGGAAAGAAAAGCAGCAGGUUAAUACCCCGCUGUUCUGACGGUACCCAAAGAAUAAGCACCGGCUAACUUCGUG
rnacentral:rRNA from 1 species